ensembl:lncRNA
GUGAGUCACUCCGCCAGGUGCACUCCAUCCUCAGCCCCACUUCUCAAUGCCCCCUGCCCCUGGAGUCCUUCGCUGCAUCCCCCACUGAGAGCUGAGGACACCAGGACAUGGGGUCUUUCCUACCCUCACCUGCAUCCGGGAAACCUUGCAGCCUUGUCCCAGGCCAAACAGGACCCUCUGGAGUCCAGGGUAAUCCUGCUUCUUGAGGCUCACCGCCCCCUCCGCACCCCUGGCCUCUAGGGCAGAGCUUGGCAUGCAGUAGACAUUAAACAAACACUAAAGAAAUGCCUUACAUUCUUCUUCUUUUUAAAAAACCCCCAAACUCCUUUCUGGUCCUUCGUCUGCCCUAGGCCCUCUGGGUCAAGAUAAUCCUCUCAGAGGCAGUGUGCAAGGUGGUCAGGAGUCCAAAGGGUACAAAGAAUUAGCUGGGGACCUUGCAGGGGUGAGCGUGCUACACACAGGCCGGUUGCUCACAGGGACAAAAAGCAAGUAGUGGUAGGGAGAGGGGAAAGGAAACUCAGCUUUCAUGUUAACACCGCUUGGUAUCAUCUGAAUCUUGCCAUACAACACCUCCAACCUUCAAAUGUUCCUGGAAAAGCCCUUGGGAGUUUGAAUCUGAGCUCUGCAGCUGAUAAGCUGCGUGCAACCAGGGGCAGAUGGUGGCAGGACUUCCCAGGCUCAGUUUGUACGUCUGGGAAAUGGAGGCGGUCACGCGGUUCACAGAGGGUGGGUGAGUACCCCUCAUGGCAGCUGUGAUGAUACUCAUGUGAGCAGCUUCCCUUCAGCCCUCUCACUCCCGUUCCCUCCCCUGAGGGAGCCUGUCCUCCAGUCUGGCUGUGGGGACCCACUGGACCUUCUUGAUGGUGCCCCUUCUUCUGCAGCCCCCCAGCCCAGGCUGCUCCUCGGGCAGGAGAUGAACAAUUCUGCAGCAGCAGGCCCAUCCUAGACCCCACCUGGCCCUCUGGAGGGCCCCUCCAAGGAGCCCUCACCCCGCCCCCCCACCAUGCUGCCCCUGCAGGUGGCCCUCCGGGUACCACAUGGUGAGUCUCCGGCUGGCGUGUGUGGAGGGAGAUGGAGUGUGGACCCCUGAGGAUUGCCCCAGAGGAGGGCAAAAUGUGGGCCAUGGGCACCAUCCUGUUUCUGGCCUCAGCCUUCCACCCCUGGUGGGACAGGUGUGCAUGGUAGAUGAGACCAGGGUAAGAGAGCUGAAGUUCAGCCACCUCUCCAAGCCUCCAUCACCCCAUCUGUAAAAUGGACAUAAAGAACACUUCUAGAACCAUUCAGGAGUAAAUGGAAACGUGGCUGUGACUGACCAGGCGUGCAGGAGAUGCUUGUUAGAGGAUGGCCGUGACUGCUUACCAGGAAUGACCCGCUUCCCUCAGAUGCCUUGCUGCCUCCCUACGUGGAAGGCUCGUGGCUGACCCUCGAAGCCCGCAUCCAGCCUGCGCUAAACUGGGCCAUGAAGCUCUAUGUGGAUGAGUGUGUGGGCUCCCAGACCCAGUACCGGAACCGCUCUCGGAAGAUGUACAUCCUUGUCUUCAACCGUGGGUGCCUCUCAGUAGGCCCCCAUUCUGGCCCUUGGUCCCGGCAGAAUAAUGAGACGCUGCAGUUCAGCGUGGAGGCCUUCAUGCUCGACGAGGAUGAGGUGUAUAUCACCUGCUGGACGAGCGUCUCGAGUUGGAUGGGACCCUUUAAGCCUGGCCGGAAGUCCUGUUUUUAUAACACCUCCUCGUACAGAGUUCCCUGGGGAAGAGACACCUAUAUGGUGGUCACGGGGCUGCAGAAAGUCAAGAAGCCCCCAGUGUUGUAGUUUACGGUAAGGAACUCUGGGCUCAUAAUCAGCUCAGGCUAGGCGGCCACACCUCUGGGUAGUCCUGCAGCAUCCUUGGCCCCAGCCUCCUGCAGGACACUGAAGGACCUGCUAGUGGUGCUGCUGGCUUUCAGCCGUGUCACCGCUGCUGAUCCUGUUCCUGCUGACCCUGAAGGUGCUCAAGACCUUCCAGCUGUCCUCCCGGCUGCCAGGGACCACGUUGAGGGAGGCCCUGGCCAAUCUGGAUGCCCAGGAGAUGGGUCCAGUGGUCAGGGCAAUGGAAAGACUCUCUUCUGAGGAGGAGAUUGACUCGAUGUCCCAGUCUGCUGUCGAGGAAAGCUGGGAGGCAGCGGGCCCUUCAGAAAACUAAACAACCCUUUUAUAUACGUAC